UACGGAGGGGGCUAGCGUUGUUCGGAAUUACUGGGCGUAAAGCGCACGUAGGCGGCUUUGUAAGUUAGAGGUGAAAGCCCGGGGCUCAACUCCGGAACUGCCUUUAAGACUGCAUCGCUCGAAUUGUGGAGAGGUAAGUGGAAUUCCGAGUGUAGAGGUGAAAUUCGUAGAUAUUCGGAGGAACACCAGUGGCGAAGGCGGCUCACUGGUCCAUUACUGACGCUGAGGUGCGAAAGCGUGGGGAGCAAACAGG
rnacentral:rRNA from 1 species